rnacentral:rRNA from 1 species
CCUACGGGAGGCUGCAGUCGAGAAUCUUCCGCAAUGGACGAAAGUCUGACGGAGCGACGCCGCGUGGUGGAUGAAGUCCUUAGGGACGUAAACACCUUUUAUGAGUGAAGAAGUAUAUUGACAUUAGCUCAUGAAUAAGGGGCUCCCAACUCUGUGCCAGCAGGAGCGGUAAUACAGAGGCCUCAAGCGUUAUCCGGAUUCACUGGGCGUAAAGGGUGCGUAGGCGGUUAUAUUAGUCGGGUGUAAAAUCCUGGGGCUCAACCUCAGGCUCGCAUUCGAAACGGCAUAACUAGAGGAAGUGAGAGGUAAACAGAACUCUCGGUGUAGGGGUGAAAUCCGUUGAUAUCGAGGGGAAUACCAAAUGCGAAGGCAGUUUACUGGCACUUUCUUGACGCUGAGGCACGAAAGCGUGGGUAGCGAACGGGAUUAGAUACCCGGGUAGUC